rnacentral:rRNA from 1 species
AUUGAACGCUGGCGGCAGGCCUAACACAUGCAAGUCGAGCGGAUGAAGGGAGCUUGCUCCUGGUUUCAGCUGCGGACGGGUGGGUGAUUCCUGGGAAUCUCCCUUUUUUUUUGUUAUAACGUCCUGAAGCGGGCGCUAAUACCCCAUUCGUCCUGAGGUCGAAAGGGGGGGAUCUUCGGACCUUCCGCUCUUAGGUGAGCCUAGGCCGGGUUGGCGAGUUGGUGGGGUAGAGGCGUACCAAGGCGACGAUCCGUAACUGGACUGAGAGGGUGAUCAGUCACACUGGAACGGAGACACGGUCCAGACUCCUACGGGAGGCAGCAGUGGGGAAUAUUGGACAAUGGGCGAAAGCCUGAUCCAGCCAUGCCGCGUGUGUGAAGAAGGCCUUCGGAUUGUAAAGCCCUUUUAGUUGGGAGGAAGAGCAGUAAGUUAAUACCCUGCUGUUUUGACGGUACCAAAAGAAUAAGCACCGGCUAACUUCGUG